rnacentral:rRNA from 1 species
UACGAAGGGUGCAAGCGUUACUCGGAAUUACUGGGCGUAAAGCGUGCGUAGGUGGUUCGUUAAGUCUGAUGUGAAAGCCCUGGGCUCAACCUGGGAAUUGCAUUGGAUACUGGCGGGCCAGAGUACGGUAGAGGGUGGCGGAAUUCCUGGUGUAGCAGUGAAAUGCGUAGAUAUCAGGAGGAACAUCCGUGGCGAAGGCGGCCACCUGGACCAGUACUGACACUGAGGCACGAAAGCGUGGGGAGCAAACAGG